rnacentral:rRNA from 1 species
UUUAGAGAUAGAGGAGUGCUCGAAAGAGAGCCGUAACACAGGUGCUGCAUGGCUGUCGUCAGCUCGUGUCGUGAGAUGUUGGGGUUAAGUCCCGCAACGAGCGCAACCCUUGUUCAUUAGUUGCUACAUUCAGUUGGGCACUCUAAUGAGACUGCCGGUGACAAACCGGAGGAAGGUGGGGAUGACGUCAAGUCCUCAUGGCCCUUAUAGGUGGGGCUACACACGUCAUACAAUGGAUGGUACAAAGGGUCGCCAACCCGCGAGGGGGAGCCAAUCCCAUAAAGCCAUUCGUAGUCCGGAUCGCAGUCUGCAACUCGACUGCGUGAAGUCGGAAUCGCUAGUAAUCGUGGAUCAGAGUGUCACGGUGAAUACGUUCCCGGGUCUU